UACGUAGGGGGCUAGCGUUGUCCGGAAUCAUUGGGCGUAAAGAGCGCGUAGGCGGCCAGAUAAGUCCGGUGUGAAAGUCACAGGCUCAACCUGUGGAUGCCGCUGGAAACUGUCUGGCUAGAGUCCGGAAGGGGCGAGUGGAAUUCCUGGUGUAGCGGUGAAAUGCGCAGAUAUCAGGAGGAACACCAAUGGCGAAGGCAGCUCGCUGGGACGGUACUGACGCUGAGGCGCGAAAGCGUGGGGAGCAAACAGG
rnacentral:rRNA from 1 species